rnacentral:rRNA from 1 species
CUACGGAGGGUGCGAGCGUUAAUCGGAAUUACUGGGCGUAAAGCGCGCGUAGGCGGUUUGAUAAGUCUGAUGUGAAAGCCCUGGGCUUAACCUGGGAAUGGCAUUGGAUACUGUUUGACUAGAGUGCAGGAGAGGAGAGUGGAAUUCUCGGUGUAGCGGUGAAAUGCGUAGAUAUCGGGAGGAACACCAGUGGCGAAGGCGGCUCUCUGGACUGACACUGACGCUGAGGUGCGAAAGCGCGGGUAGCAAACAGGAGUAGAAACCCCGGUAGUCC